AUUUUCAAAAAAACCAUCCAGGCCAUUUUUUAAAGAAAUAUCUAUAGAAUUUGAUAAGAAAAGCUCUUUCAGUAGCGAAUUCCGCAUGUUUACUGUUCUUACUGUAAAGAACCCUUCCCUCCGAAGUGAUACGAUGAGUCUCAAUACUGAGUGAAAUCAAUGUCACGAUAUGUCACAUUGUAAAAUCAUAUCAUUUGGAUCAAUUCAUAUCAUUCUUAAAGGGACACUGUUUUUUUGUGUAUUGAUGCCUUCUCCUCUCUGUGACAGUGUAAUAGAUUGCUAUCAUUGUCAGUAGAUCCUAAUAACUCUCUCUGAGAAACCUCAGAUUGUCAGAUCAUGGCGGCUGACGCCCAUCUGUCCGGAUCAUCUCAUAAGAGGGGAACAAAUUCUACAGGGAGACUGUCCCGACUCUGGAUUACAGGUAAAUC